GCUUCAAAACUGCUGUUCAGAACUCUAUGGGUGACGUCACGGACACUACGUCCAUAUUUUUUUACAGUCUAUGUUCAGGAGCAGGCUGGUGCUAAUUAUAGCAGUGGAUAAUGCAAGCAGCUAAGGCAAGGUAGCAACUGCUGUUUUUAUGAUUUUGUUUGUUUUCUAAGUAUAAUGUUAUGUUCCUUGUUUGUUGCAGUAUGUGAUGGUUCAGCAGCGGAACUGAUGACUAUUAUAUCAGUGGAUAGUACAACCAACUAAAAAGGACCGGGGCUGAUGACUACUAUAUCAGAGGAUAGCACACACUACUAAGACAACAAAGUGUACUCAGGAUAUGUUGAGUCUUUCCCUUCGAUAAAUGUUCAACGUGUAUCGGAAGGUUUUCCCAGGCGGUUGCACUUGAGGGGCAGUGGGUGCAGUGUGGUGUUUUUGUGUAUGCAGUGGUUUGGUGUGUGGGUUUUCACAUAGUAAGUAUUUGCUGUGGUGAAUGAUUGGUUUGAAGUAUUAUUUUUUCACUCUACUUGUUCUUCAGUGUGCUGCCUGGUUUGUUUUGUUCUUUUUUAUUUUUUUAUUGUGUCUAUACUGGAGUACUUUGGUGUUUCCAAUAAAACUAUGUAAAAGCUUCAUGAAGCAGUGUUUUGAAAUCGGCCAUCACUAAAUAAGUCGUUAUUUUGUUUUUUUGGCGCACCAAA